rnacentral:misc_RNA from 1 species
CCAAUUUUAUAUACUAGUGUGUAUAUCUGUGACUCUGUUGCAGGUACUACACUACUACUAUUAUGUAAACGUUGAACUAGAUCAAUUGGUGUGGAUUGCUUGGGAAUGGACGAAGCGACAAGCCUCUUCCGGACAGGCAAACCCCACACUGAUAACCUUUUCAAUAUAAUUUACUAGUACAUACUACAAACAAACAAACAAACAAAAGCUAUAAUAGGACUUAUAAACAGGCUGAGUGGGUAAAAUCCUCGGCUUAACCAAUAUAACUAUUA